UACAGAGGUCUCAAGCGUUGUUCGGAAUUACUGGGCGUAAAGGGUGCGCAGGCCGCGCGGGCAGUCAAAUGUGUAAUCCAGGGGGCUCAACCCCCUGAACUGCGCUUGAUACUUCCGCGCUCGAGCUUUGGAGAGGAGUCUGGAAUUCUCGGUGUAGCAGUGAAAUGCGUGGAUAUCGAGAAGAACACUUAGGGCGUAGGCAAGACUCUGGACAAAUGCUGACGCUCAUGCACGAAGGCUAGGGUAGCGAACGGGG
rnacentral:rRNA from 1 species